UACGUAGGGUGCGAGCGUUGUCCGGAAUUACUGGGCGUAAAGAGCUCGUAGGUGGUUUGUCGCGUUGUCCGUGAAAACUCACAGCUCAACUGUGGGCGUGCGGGCGAUACGGGCAGACUGGAGUACUGCAGGGGAGACUGGAAUUCCUGGUGUAGCGGUGGAAUGCGCAGAUAUCAGGAGGAACACCGGCUGGCGAAGGCGGGGUCUCUGGGCAGUAACUGACGCUGAGGAGCGAAAGCGUGGGGAGCGAACAGG
rnacentral:rRNA from 1 species